rnacentral:rRNA from 1 species
UACGGGGGGAGCAAGCGUUGUUCGGAUUUACUGGGCGUAAAGGGCGCGUAGGCGGCCACCGCAAGUCGACUGUGAAAUCUCCGGGCUUAACCCGGAAAGGUCAGCCGAUACUGCGGGGCUAGAGUGCAGAAGGGGCAACUGGAAUUCUCGGUGUAGCGGUGAAAUGCGUAGAUAUCGAGAGGAACACCUGCGGCGAAGGCGGGUUGCUGGGCUGACACGUGACGCUGAGGCGCGAAAGCCAGGGGAGCGAACAGG